rnacentral:lncRNA from 1 species
AGUCACAAAGCCAAAGUCUCUUUCCAGACUGCGUAUCAGUAAUUAUCUCAAAUUUUCCUGUAUUUCUCAAAGUAAUCUCUAAGUUGAUGUUCCUCAGUAUCUUCCUUAAUUCCACCAACAACAGCUUCUUCACAGUUACACGAGCCUCCUGGUUUUCCAGGUUCUUCUCUUGCUGCAGUGCGUUUUGGCUCAACCACUCUUCCAUCAGUUGAAGGAGGUCCCACAGCCAUCGCAGCAUCAACCUCAGCCAUGGAUAAAAAAGACUUAGUCGCAUCAGCCCGAUUUCUGGGAGCCAAGCAAGGUGAGAGAGAUCUCCAUGGACAAAGGCAAGCCCAGACUCGUCCAGGCCCUGUUGUGUGAACAGUGCAGCUGCUCAAGAAGCAAUGCCGGGAGCGCAGCUACUCCCUCAGUUUUUAAUCUUCCUCUUACUUCACCUCUUAGCAGCAUAUAACAAUGUUUAUCACCCCCUGCUUUUUGAAACAAUCUUCCAUUAAUUUUCAUGACCGAACAAGCUCCUGAUUUUCAACAGCUCUGGUCAUAUUCUUUCAAGUUUAUUCAUCAUUUUCCGGGCCUUUAAAUGUAGGCAUUUCUUUAAAGCUCAGUCCUGGAACUUCACAUCUCCUCAGUCUUCACUCUCUCCUUUCAUUAAGACUCAUUGCUUAAUUUAGCAUAUAUGUGAAACAUUUUCACAUUAAUAUUUCUUGUCCUGACCUCUCCGAGUUUCAAAUCCGUAUAUCCAUUUACCUACUUUUAUUAUUUUUUUCUAUGUCUUAAAAAUACCUCAAUCUCGACAUAUCUUCAGUUGCCUUGUACUCCUCCUUCUAACAACCUCCCUUUCUAUUUUGGGAAGAUUCUCCACUGUGCACAGUGUUGGGGGGAGGAAAUUCCCAACCUCCUACUCCUGUAGCUGAAAGAGGUUGGUCAUCUGUCUCCCCAAUACCUGAGCAACCAGUUCA